ACUGAUAUCGAAGGAACUAGACUCAGUUCCGAAAUAUCGCUUACUCGAACCGUCCUGACCGCGUAGCUCAGUUGGAAGAGCAUUGGGCUAGUAUUCCAAAGGUCGUAGGUUCGAAUCCCGCCGUGGCCAGGCAUAUUUUUCGGGCCUGCCCGGUGUGGAUAUACACUCAGAGUAACAUCACACAAACAUCUUAUUCACCUGAGUACAUUAC